rnacentral:rRNA from 1 species
UACGGAGGGCGCAAGCGUUUUUCGGAAUCAUUGGGCGUAAAGCGCGUGCAGGCGGCUUGGUAAGUCGGGUGUGAAAGCCCGGGGCUCAACCCCGGAACUGCACCCGAUACUGCCUCGCUAGAGUCUCGGAGAGGAUGGCGGAAUUUCCGGUGUAGAGGUGAAAUUCGUAGAUAUCGGAAGGAACACCAGCGGCGAAGGCGGCCAUCUGGACGGUGACUGACGCUCAGACGCGAAAGCGUGGGGAGCAAACAGG